CACUUGGAAACUACAUACUUAUGACUUACAGAAACUUACAUAAACAAAUUAUACAAAUUAUAUGCUCAAUUUUUAGGUAUAUAGUCUUAAAUUAAGCUUAGGCGACAGAGCCAGACUGUGUCUCAAAAACAGGAAAGAAAACAAAAGAAAAUUUGGACUAUUGCCAAUUACAAAUAUUUUUAGAGAAGAUUCGAAACAAUAACUGUGGAUGAUGGAAACAAUAGUUAUGAUAAAAGUCUGAUGAAACUUCCCAGUUCACAAGGAAAUUUAAUUACUUAUGUGCGGCAUUUUAAGACAGUAAUCAGAAUCAUGACUGACAGCAUCAUAUCAGGACCACCAGACUUUUAUA
rnacentral:lncRNA from 1 species